UGGGGAAUAUUGGACAAUGGGGGGAACCCUGAUCCAGCCAUGCCGCGUGUGUGAAGAAGGCCUUAUGGUUGUAAAGCACUUUAAGCGAGGAGGAGGGUACUGGUAUUAAUACUACCAGCUACUGGACGUUACUCGCAGAAUAAGCACCGGCUAACUCUGUGCCAGCAGCCGCGGUAAUACAGAGGGUGCGAGCGUUAAUCGGAUUUACUGGGCGUAAAGCGUGCGUAGGCGGCUAAUUGAGUCGGAUGUGAAAUCCCCGAGCUUAACUUGGGAAUUGCAUUCGAUACUGGUUAGCUAGAGUGUGGGAGAGGAUGGUAGAAUUCCAGGUGUAGCGGUGAAAUGCGCAGAGAUCUGGAGGAAUACCGAUGGCGAAGGCAGCCAUCUGGCCUAACACUGACGCUGAGGUACGAAAGCAUGGGGAGCAAACAGG
rnacentral:rRNA from 1 species